AUGCGAUAAGUAAUGUGAAUUGCAGAAUUCAGUGAAUCAUCGAAUCUUUGAACGCACCUUGCGCCCUUUGGUAUUCCGAAGGGCACGCCUGUUUGAGUGUCGUGAAAUU
rnacentral:rRNA from 1 species